AGUUCGGUUUCCAGUGUUGUUGUCCUGUCCUAUCAAGAUAAGAUAGAAUCCGCAGUAUAGGUUGGUGCUUACGCUCUAGGUCGAGUUCGGGUGCAGAAGAUAAGAUGUUUUAGCGUGGUUAGUUGAUCCCUUAUGAUUAUUAGUAGGAAUACCGGGUAGUCCUGAUAAGAUUACGCAAGCAGGUCUGCUCCUGUUCUUGUUCGAGUGGAAUUCCGUAUUUGUAUCUAUCUGUUCUGUUCUCUUAAGUAAUCAUACCAGUGAGCCGGCAACUCAGUAGAGGGGACUAACGCACUUUUAGCUCGCUGACGCUCGAGAUUAUGACUUCCUCAAGGAUCUACACUGGCUGGGGAUUAGAUGUUGCUCCCUAUCUCCUUAUGUUGCUCCCUAUAUCCUUUUUGGAACGGGGAAAAUAGAGAAUGCAUUUAAGGAUCUGAUCCUAAUCCUAGUUCGGGACUGACGGGGCUCGAACCCGCAGCUUCCGCCUUGACAGGGCGGUGCUCUGACCAAUUGAACUACAAUCCCUGCGAGGUGUCUGGUAUACAUAUAAUAUUAUGAAUGGUUUCAGAAGAACAUUUGAUUCGUCGCCUUGUAACAGAGACACGAAUGAUAUACUCACUGAUAUAUAAGAGAGAUAGAAAUAUGGAUAUGGACUAUAGUGAAAGUGACACGGAUUACUAGUGACCUGUGUUUCUUUGAUUUGAUUGCCAAAAAAGGCAAUGAUCAAAACCGCUCCGCUCCUUGCUUUGUUUUCAUAUUCUUUAUGAAGAUAGAUAGUGGAAAGAAAAGAUCAGAACGAAUGAGAAAUACAUGGAUAGAGAACAAAAACGGGACUCUUUUUCUUUUACGGAUCAGGCAUUAUAGUUUAUGGAGGACUAUAUCAUUGGCUAUAUUAGAUUCAUGGAGCGACGAAGCUUCUUCAACUGCUUCCCAGAACUGCUUAGGAUUUGAACCAGCGUAGACAUAUCGCCAACGAAUUACAGUCCGUCCCCAUUAACCGCUCGGGCAUCGACCUAGAUCUAAACACUCUUUUGGACUUUGAGAGGGCAAUUGAUUGCGGGGGUAAAUGAAAUUGAUUGCUCCUAAAGAAACCCUACUCAGCAUCUAGUUCAAUUGAUUGCUCCUAAAGAAACCCUACUCAGCAUCUAGCUUCAUAUUACUAAAUAAACCCUACUCAGCAUCUAGCUUCAUAUUACUAAAGAAACCCCUACUCAGAGCUAGCUUCAUAUUAUUAGCAUACUAAGGUAUAUAUCAUGUACAUCUAUUAUGCAGUAGACUCAUAAUGGAAAGGCUAUUUGGAAUGACAGUAGACUCAUAAUGGAAAGGCUAUUUGGAAUGAAUCUAAUAAGGACCCUUUGAACUCAGUGGUAUAGUAAUGUUAUGGUAAGGCGUAAGUCAUCGGUUCCAAUCCGAUAAGGAGCUUUUUCCACAACUAUCAGGGUUCAAAUACUUAUUUCUUAGGAGUCAUAAGACAGGUUCAAAUACUUAUUUAUUCCUAUUAUAUAGUAUAAGUUAUAAGUAUAAGAAAAGGAAGUCUAAGCCGGUCCAUUGCUCUUUGCUUGUGCUUAUUUGGCUUUAGGAGGUUGGUUUACAGGUCAAACUUAUGUAACUUCAUGGUAUACCCUUUGACUGGCGAUUGAAUGAGUUGGUUUGCUAACACUCCACUCCUUUGAAUAGUUGAGCACAUUCUUAGUUGGGUCCGCACAAGAACGCAGGAAGAAAGUGAUACUAUUUCAAAGAAACCAUAUAUUGAUUGAUUUCUAAAUCAUUCUACAUCUUUGACUCGUUGGUGUCAAUUAGGCGUGGACUUGUGUUGCUCUCCAUGGUGCUUUCCGCAUAGGUUUCAUAUUACUUCACUUACCUUACGUAAAAGAUGGAUAGGACUAGGUCUUGCUCGAUCAGUUCAAUUGCUACCUUAUAAUGCGCAUUCUUUGCUUGCUAACAAUUGCAGUUUUCGUUUCGUUUCCGUAUUUCUCUCUUUAUCUACAGGGUCAAUCUGGUUUCACAUAGUUUUGGUGUAGCAGCUAUAUUUCGAUGAAUCCUCUGAUUCCAACGGUGGAAUAAUUGGACGUUGAACCCUUUGAAUAUGAUGGGAGUUUAGGAGUAUUAGGCGCUGCUCUGCUAUGCGCUAUUCAUGGUCUGUAUAAAACACUUUAUUCGAAGAUGGUAACGGUGCAAAUACAUACUGUUCGUGCUUUUAACCCAACUCCAGCCGAAGAGACUUAUUCCAUGGUCACUGCUAACCGUUUUUUAUCCCAAAUCCAUCUUUAGGGGUUGCUUUUUCCAAUAACCGUUGGCCUUAUGUUUUUUGUAUCCGUAACAGGUUUAUGGAUGAGUGCUAUUGGGGUAGUAAGUCGGUCUGGCUCUGAAUCUACGUGCCUAUGACUUCGUUUCCCGUUAGGAAGAUCCGGAAUUGGAUACUUUAUACCUACACCAAGAAUAUGACAUUUCCAAAAGAGAAAUCCGUUAGGAAGAUCCGGAAUUGGAUACUUUAUACCUACACAACCAAUAAUAUUCCAUUAUACAAAGGUAUUCGUGCUUGACAAAGGUAUUCGUGCUUGGAUGGCGGCUCAGGAUCAGCCUCAUGAGAAAACAAACACCUUAUAUUCCCUGUAAGGAGGUUAUACCACGUGGAAACACUCUUUAAUGGAACUGCCGCUUUAGCUGGUCCAAGAAACUACCUCGCUUGGUGCGCUGGGAAUGCCAGACUUAUGAAUUUGUCCGGUAAACUACUUGGAGCUCACGUAGCCCAUGCCGGAUUAAUCGUAUUCUGGGCCGGGGCAAUGAACCCAUUUGAAGUGGAUCUACCAGAGAAAAAACCUAUGUAUGAACAAGGAUUGAUUUGACUGUUGCAUCUAGCUACUCUAGGUUGGAGGGUAGGUCUAGGGGGGAAACCUUAGCAUACUUAGUCUCUUGAGUACUUAACGGAAUUUCCUCUGCUGUCUUAGGACGGAAUUUCCUUUAUGUCUUAGGCUUGGGUGGUAUUUCUCAUGCUUUGACCUUGAAUCAUCUUUUCCAUUCUGCAGAUAGAAAGAUAAUAACUACCAUGUUGGGUAUUAACUUCAUUUUGUUAGGUCUAAGUGCUUGCUUUUAUUCUAGUACUCAAGGCAGUUAGUUUAGGGGCAUAUAUUCAACCUGGGCCCCUGGCGGGGAGAUGUAAGAAAAAUGACACCAACUUGACCCGAUGCCCAAGUGUCAUAUUUUGGAUUGACUCAAAUCUCCUUGCUUUUUAGGGGAAUAUAAGGAUUUCUUGUUUGUGUAGACACGAUUUCUAUAAUAUUGAUCUUGUUGUGAGGGGUUCUAUUUGUAUACUUUGUGGAAUUCCAUUUGUAUACUUUGUGGAAUUUUGCUUAACCGCAUAGGCUUGCUUGCUGGUUUUAGCAUCGAGUGGUUUACUGUCUUAUAGUUUAGAUGCUUUAUCUGUCUUUAGUUUUCUCGCUUGUUGUUUUGUCUGGGUUAAUAAUACCGCUUAUCCUAGUGAGGCCGGGCCAGAAGCUUCUAAAGCAAAAGCAUUACCUUUAUAGUAAGAGACCAACUGGAGCUAACGUGGGAUCCGCUCAAUACUGGUUUAGGGAAAUAUAUCUAAUGCAAAACCAGAGAUAUGAUUUUCGGAGGAUAAACUAUGCGGGGAUCUUCGUAUUCGACCCCUCUUAGUUGUCAUUUGAUUCUUUUCACCAUUCUAUCUAUUCGAUUUGGUUACUCUUACUUAUGGUGAGGCUAGUCUAAGCAGACAGUGUAAUGUAAAAUGACUUACUUCAUAUGUUAACUCAAAAAGCAGAAAAACUCACGUUAGCCGAAAACAAGAACUCACUGGACUAACGCUGAUGAUAUAACUUGCGUUAGCGAGCGGAAUCUAUGCGCUAAUGGAGUUCCCGGGGGACACUCACUUGCUUGUUGAAUGUGAGUGCCAAAUAUCAUAUUUGAUAGCUAAUCGUAACUAAUGAAUCUAGUAACAACCCAUAGCCCUGCGAAACUCACUGUUUACAUUAAGAGGAAUUCAUAUAGGCAUACUAACCUCUGCCCUUACUUUAAGCUUUCCGGACUCAAUUGCUAGAAAGGGGGCGAUCUUAAUCGUUCAAUAUUCUAUGAGAAAGUGUUUUCAAGAAGAUAUCUAAAUUGCUAGCUAUAUUCAAAUAAGGCUUUCAGCACCUUUACUGAAUUCCAGAAUAUGGUUUCUUAGAUAAAUAUUACAAACUUAUAUAUAUGGUGUCGCUCGAAGCUUUUGUUUUGUGUAUUUUCAUAUUAGGAGUUCUGGCAGAGUUCUUUCCACUUCGAGACUCAAACCCAUACCUAGAAAAAAGGAUGCUACAAUAAGGUUCGAAAUUAGCAACUUGACACCCGAAGGCAUAGAGAGUAAGGAACAAAUGAAUAUAGAUUUUUGAGCUAUGAGCUAGUCCUGUAUUCUGUAGCCCUCCCUGACUUCUAGACCUUCCACUACGGAAUCUACCGAAAUGACUGGGCAGAUCUAAUGUAUGAUAGCUCGCUCAUAAUCCUUAGGCUAUACAGCAUGGAGCAGGCUUGGUCUGUAGUAUACGCUUGGCCGGGCAUCAAAGGCAUGAAUUUAUUGUAGGAGUGAUUUUCCAAGAGGGAAGAGGGGCAAGCUGGUCCCGGUCUCAGGCAAGUCUUAUUUAGAUUGGAGAAAGAGGUCGGGUUAGGACAGGAAGGCGAAAGCAGCCGUGCCGUUGAAGCAGUAACGAUAUGAAUCGGCUUUGUGAUCGAUAUUAGUCGUUUUUAUACCCUUUAUCUAUAUAGAGCCGGAAUAGUUGUCAAUCAAAGAACAGAAAUGACUCAGAUCUUUCCCAGGGACGAAAACGGGAAAUACCAUAACAAGGAAAAUAGCUUUAAGUAGUUUACGAAGCGACCCACAUUUCCACAGUGUUUCUUGAGAAGAAAGACCAGAUUUAGCAACAUAAGUGGUAUUACCUAUGGAAGAUGCCUCCGCGAAGAAGUUAUAGCAUCCAAAGCAGGCGGUUAAGUGACAUAAACCGGUGCAGCUCAUAGACGGUGGGAAAUGAAGUAAGGAAUUCUCGGUCUUAUAAUGCCUAAAGUACGGAAUUCUCGGUCUUAUAAUGCCUAAAGUAAGUGAUGGGUACUCCCCGACUCCGGGUCUUCGUUCAUAACGAGGCACUCGACUCUCUAAUGUAGCAUAAGGCGCUUCAGUAAGCUUACAGAACAUAAACACUUUUUUCGGCCACGUCGGAGACAUCAAUCCGAAGUGAAGGAAGCUUUCUUUUUGAUAAGGAACUGUAGGCUUAGUCUCCUCUCUUUCUUGCUACUAUACCUCUUGCCACAAAUCAUUCUUAAACAGAAACUGACCUCGAGUUUUUCAUGUUUCAACGGAAGAAACUGUAGCUGUAGAAAAGAAAGGAGUUGGCGAAGGUCGUGGAGAGUUGGUAUCAGUUCAAUCAAUAAGGGAUGCAGAUGCUCAGGUACUAUUGACCACGGAGCUUUGUGUGACGCAUCUCUAUCUCUACUCUAAUGGGAUCUUCCGCUUAAGCUUCAGUAUCGGGUGCUUGUGUUAAACAAUGAAAGACAGUUUCGUUCUUGCGGAAUCAUAUGAUGGAUCGGAAGCUCUGCUCUAUCAAAUGAAGCAGUUGGCGCAGCAGCAAUGAAAGUCGAGUCGACGAGCAAAAAUCAAGAAGAAGGUCAAGAAUAAGGAUCCAAAGCAUAAGAAAGGGCUUCCCCUGGAGCAGGGUAUCAUGCAGGCGAAGCGGGAGUUGGUGAGUUUACAGUUCAAUUGAAUUCCGCUUUCAAAUAAGAUUAUUACAUGUACAUAUUAUGCAAGAAAGUAACCUAACCCCGUUACUAUAAAGAGACUAACUCAUAUUAUCAUUCAUAUAUUACCUACCGAUUGAUUAAAAGAAGCAAUGCUGGUUGUUUACCAGGGUGGUUUACCAGAAUGAUAUGUUAGGCGCUCGAGAUAUGAAAUUCAUGAUUCUGCGUUAAGUAUUGCUGAAGUAUUGCCCGAAACAAGUGUAUCAGUGGCUAAAGCGUAAGUGAAAGGAGAAGGAUACGCAAAAGAACCCUCCACUUCUGUUCCAGAAUCUCUGUAUGUGCCCCAGUAGAGUAUAAUCCUAGUGCUUGUGUAUAAGGCUGUAACUACUUAUAGUACUUGUGUAUAAGGCUGUAACUACUUAUAGUACUUGUGUAUAAGGCUGUAACUACUUAUAGUACUUGUGUAUAAGGCUGUAACUACUUAUAGUAGAAGUAUGGUGGAAAGUGUUGUCGACAAGAUCUGAUGCUUCAUAAAGUAAAGGAUAUGUAUCUGAACCAGCAAGCUCUGUUCUCAAGUAAUCCGUAAAGACAGUACAAGUCGUUGAGUUACUACGCGGGGAUAGUUAGUAGGAGUGUUGUACCUAACUACGCGGGGAUAGUUAGUAGGAGUGUUGUACUUAAUCUCCCAUAGUAGAAGUUCGACAGAAUGGAAUGAUCAACUGCUGAAGUUUAGUCCCAAGGAACAGUAUGAAGAAGCUCAGCUCUACUCCCGUGUUCCUACUCUAGAAACUCCUAAUUAUUCAAAAUACCCACUCCAUUCCUUUGCCGUUGCUUGUCUUUACGCCUAAGCUUGUUCGUCUUAGUCGAGUCUAUUUCUGUUCUAGUUUCCUCUGUGUCAGCUGCCAGAAAAGUGAUUGGCUUAGAGAGGGGAUCUUUUGAAUGCUUGUAUUAAGUGAGUUAAGGAUCUCUGUUAAGGUAAGAAGAAAUUCCUUCUUAUGCGCACUAAAUUCCUGUUCGAGUAAAGUAUGCAACAUCAGAUGCUGUUUGAAGAUAUGGGUAUUGUUCUAGAGGAAAAGGUAAUAAGAGUCUUUAAGGUCAGGCAGUGAACAAGUGAGUAACAGAAUGGGGCGUCAUCGUAUAAAGAAGCAGUAGACUGAAAGGCAGCUCUUUUUUCUCUCAAUUCGCCCCCAAAAUCCCAUUCUUUGUUUUCCUCGGCGCAAGACAAGAGAUGGAUUCACCUGGAUCUGGAUCUGUAUAAAGUAUAGUUCGGUUCGAGUGACAACCUCUUCUCGACGCGCCUCUUCUCUUAGCGCCCUAGCUUUCGAUCUACCCUUUCCCUUCGAUCUACCCUUUCCCCUUGCUUUAAGAAGAGAAAAGAAUGGAGUAGAGACACAGUAUCUUAAGGGUUGCCUCUAUUCAAUAAGCCGUUAGCGCAACAGGGCUCGUAUUGCAGGAAAAUCUUUUC